CGUGUCAUAUUAUAGAAUCAGUUAAAAAAUGCUCAUUUCAAAUUAUUGUAUUAAACAAAAUGGCGACUGAGAGGCACCUCUUGAGCCCAAAGGGUUACUCAAGUUUAGGUCCAUAAUUUUUACAGUCAAGGAUGCUCAUCAUUAGAUGCAAUAAUAUAAAAUGCUCACAUUUUUUAAUAGUAUAACUAUGAAUAGUUUUGACUGACAAAUAAAUUGUACAAAAGGUUAAAAAGCUAUAUGAUGAAUUUUUUAUUAGCAGAAUAGUUUUGACUGGCAAAUAAAUUGUACAAGAGGUUAAAAAUCCAUACGAUGAUGAACAUAAAAUGCUCACAUUUCAAUUCCCUUUUUUUUUAACAGUAAAACUAUGAAUAGUUUUGACUGGCAAAUAAAUUGUACAAGAGGUUAAAAAUCCAUACAAUGAUGAACAUAAAAUACUCACAUUUUAAUUUUUUUUUUAACAGUAAAACUAUGAAUAGUUUUGACUGGCUAAUAAAUUGUACAAGAGGUUAAAAAUCCAUACAAUGAUGAACAUAAAAUGCUCACAUUUUAAUUCCCUUUUUUUAACAGUAAAACUAUGAACAGUUUUGCCUGGCAAAUAAAUUGAACAAGAGGUUAAAAAGCUAUAUAGUGAUUUUUCUCCGACAAGGUUCGUAGUCAGCGUCGACCUACUAACUCGGUCGAUCGAUUCGUUAAUGAAAAGUUUAAACGUCGAAACAUUAGGUUGGAAUUCGCGACGGUGAACGAAAUCGGAUUCCCGAAAGCGGUUUCGAAACGCUUUGGAGCGAUGGCGGAAAUCGUGGAGCAUUUCCGCGAGUCGGAGACAUCGAGAACCGGAAAGGGAGAGGAAAGAGGGAGUCGCGCGUUUCUCGGCCGAAACGAUUGCCCCCUUAGCUAAAAUAAGCGGAAGUAAGCAACGCGAGCGAGCGUUUCUAAAUUUAGACGUCGGCGUGUGCUCAUCCUUCGGCUUCUCAGCCGUUACGGCCAGCAGCUUCGUCGUUGCGUAUCCGUCUCACGGUUCGCCCCGUUCUUUGCCCGCUCCGACUUUGAUUUCAACCCCGCAUCUUAAGCGCCAUGCAUAAUGGAUAUCGGAGAUCCCGCAUCGCGGAAAACUGGUCCUAUUUGCAUUUCGAUGUCUCGUUCCUUCCGUCUCGACUUUUCGACGAACGAAUAAUCGUUCUUUUUCUUCGACGAAGAAAUCACGCGAGUAUUCGUAAGCCAGCUGACUGCCAAAACAGCUGUAGAUGACUCCGAUCGCGAGAUUGCGAGCUGAAAAGCGGUAAAAUUUUCCGUGCAGCGAAAGAAGUAACGAAAAGGGGGCAGCGUACGGGUAUCGCAACGUCUGUUAUCGUCGGUGAAGAAACCGGUACGGCGAUAACCGUAAGCCUUAGGGUAAAAACACAGCGAGCAGGUUUAGGUCGCGGUAGCUAUUCAACUAUCAGGUUAAGCCCGGUUGGGUCUAGAAUUUCAUUCGUUCCUAUUUAAAUGGUCCUUACGCUUUGCAUUUCAAGUAGGCGUUGUCUAAUCGACUUUUCCUACCGAUUCUUUACCCGAAUCACAUAACUGCUGACGAAACCGCUAUGUCACGUUUUACUUUAUCGCGGUCUGCCACGAUAUGCAACUUCGAUAACGACUUUUAAAAGAGGUCUUUGGAAAAGUAUUCGAGUAUUCUAUCUCGGGAACGAACUUAUUUUUGGCCCUGUUACGUAACGGAUGCGUCGCGUCGGUCGACGACCGAAACGACCAACGCGUUAAUCGUUCGUUUCGAAUCGAUCGCUUCGAUUUUCGCCUCUCGACAAAAAUACGACUCGAUUUUGGCUCGAGUUUCAUUUUCCGAAGCGAAAGUUCCGUUACCUAAUCCUUUUUCCCUUCGAACUCCCUCGGAAAUGUCCUAACGAAUCUCUAAUAAUAUAAGUCGACGCAACGCCGUCUGCCGUGUUACGAACGACAGGCGAUUACGCCACGUACGUAACGAUUUCAAUGAAAUACCGUAUCGUAACGAAUAGGAUAGCCAAUGCUGCGCAUGGUAUCCUUGAAUUUAUGUAACGCUCGUUCUUCCAUUAUUCGUCGGGCUUCUUUAGUUAUACGCUCUCUCUCUCUCGCUCGCUCUUUCUCUCCGAAGGCUGCGCGAUAGAACGAUUGCGUAAGAAUUUUUGUCGUUUGCGUUUUCGCUCUUGCAAACAACGUUCGUUGAACGUUUUCGCGCGGAGCGUAAUCGGGAAAAGUCGAGGAAAAUUGCGGGCGUUCGAGGACACGGGGGAAAAUAGCGUCGUAGGUUCGUUCACGGUAAGCGUCGCUUCGAAGCGCAAUUUUACGCCGAGUUAGGCGCAUCGAUCGUGCUCCGACGAACGCGAUCUCCUACGGGCGUGUUUAUUCCAAAUGACUAGGAAUUUUUCAUCCUUUUGCGGUCAAAUUUCGAUCGGAACGAAAGAAAACGAGAGAAGAUAAAUUUCGAGGAUAACAUAAGGCUGGUUAUAAAUGAAGUGAACAUUCACGGCAUUCAUGCGUUUUUUGACGAACACGCGUCGCCACUUGCAACCCUCAUUCACUCCAUUCACACUUCAAGGGAUAAUUAUAAACAUUAACGGGUCAUACAAUUAAUAAAUGCGUACAUAAGAUUGAUCGAUUGAUUGUAUAAGGACCUCGACUGCUAUGAUCACCGACCCAAUUGUAAAAUGACGAAGAAUAAAUAAAAAAGAAGAUAAUUUUACAAAGUUUGUUUCUUUUCUGAAUCAGACCUUUUCCUUAAGAUUCCUCCUGAAUAAAACUAUAAGCUGAGCGAUAGAACCUUCGAUCCGAGGUUUCCUCAAAUUCUCAGCCCUUUUCCCGAAUCCUAUUUUCCUUCCUCGACCGAUUAAUCAAGCGUAAAACCUUUCAGAACGCAUCGCGUUUUAAUUUUGGUCAGAAGCCAAGAAAAAAUCGAAGCGUAGUCCCUAAUUUCUGUGGAGACGCACGAACUGCCCUAGCAAUCGGAGGGUAGCAAUUUUUACGAGCGUUAUCCCUUUUAGACACGGGUCCCCACGCCAGUGUUUCUCAAACUCUUCACAGGAGAAUAGAAUUCGAACCCGGAAGGUUUCGGAAAGCGGAGACAAAAAGGAACGAUGUUAAAAGCGUGGUCAAAUAGACGCGACGGUUUGAGAGACGCUGGCUCAAAGUAACAACGGGGAAAGUAACGGCAGAAGGGGGUCGUUGCACUCGGCCAGGACCCACCCCCUAGACACGCGCAAAUGACGUCGAUGGAUAGCUAGCGAGCUGGAAGAGGUUGAUCGAUGAAAUCGGCCCACCAAAUCGUUUCCUCCUCUAUCCGAAUUUCUCUUCUUUCUGCUAUCGGUGCACGACGCGUGUGCGUUGCGAAACCGUGAACUUUCUCCUUGGACAUUUUUCGACCUCGCAAAGAUCGGAGAAACGAAUGGAAACAUAAUUAAAAGCCUGAAAAACGAUUCCAGGUGGAAACGGUGAAAAAGGGGGCGGAAAAAGUGGAGCCUCGCGUUCCAGACGAGCGGACAGAAACGAAAAAAGAGGAGAGGAAACGGGAUCGUUCGGCCUUACAAUCGAGACAGAAAUAGCGGAGGAUUUUUCUAUCUGCACAAGAAACGUUUGCAGAUAUAAAACGCAUCGUGUCGGCGAGAAUUCUGCAGGCUCCUUCUUGCGCUCUCAACGGGUCGAGAAGAAAUGGAAAAACUGAAACCGUGGUUCCAGCGAAUAGAUUCCGUGGAACAUAAAAUAUUUAGGUGCGUGAAAAUGAAACGAGACGUAAGAUCGAAAACGACGACCUUGAUAGGUUUCAGGUGCAAGGGCAAGAAAAGGGGUUCCGCGAUGUCCAGGCGUUAGUCGCGUCGUCGAGCGCGUCGCGUCGUUCGUCCGCCUAACGCUUUCAUCCACUCUCGCUCUUUCACCCUUUCUCUCUUUUUUUUCUACCCUUUUCAUUCUUUGACGCAAGCCUUUUGUCCCCCUAGGAUAUUUGCGGAGCUUUGUUUCGUCGACGGGCUGUAUAGCGGCUUAAAUAUACGUCGCUAAUGGCACGGGACCGAGGAUACAAAGGGUUGCCUGCCCGCUGGAUGCCGACGAACGUUUAUUUAUAAUUUGACCGUGGUCAAGGAAACGAUCGAAUCGCAAAGUCUCGAAUCUUUUCGAUCGUUCGAACAUUGCGGGUCACUGCAAUGCGUCUGACCGUGGCAGUUGGUCAAUAGGCAAGCGGCCAAUUCCGAUCGAAUUUAAAUAAGCCCUUGUACCAUUUUGCACGGUCACAGAUUUCCCGCCGAAUCGACGAGGCGGCGGGAAAUUCGAAAGCGGGCGGCAGCGCCAUAUCGCGGUUCCUUCUAGGGACGACCUAGAGAUGGCGACGCGUAUCUUUCCUAGCCAUUCGGAGGAUACUCGGUCGGUACAGCUUUUCGACGUUCGACCGCCUCUUCCCUUUUCGCAUUAUAAAACGCGCCACCGUUUUAUGAGCAUCCGUUUCUGCGUGUUACGAAUAUCCUUUGAUCGCAGAACCGUACGUUUUCACCAGCAAUUGCUUCUGCGACGUAAGAGGAUUAUUUCCUCGGCCGCUUCUUGGCUGGAAAUCUAUUUUUAUUCCGAUCGUACCUUAUCGCUUUACUGCUUUUAUCAUUUGCACCGUUACCUCGUUAUCGGACGUUACCUUCAUUUUUCGGAUUAUUAUCUGUAAUUCACCGUUAUCGCUGUUUCCUUCUAUGUCUUUAACUGUUUUUAACUCGUCGCCGCUUUAUUUGUACGGUGCGUCGAAAAUUCGAUAACGAAAAAUUACCGAACGACACGUGUGGAGAACAAGGCACUUCGAGGUUCAGAAAGAACGUCGAAUCAGUCAAUUUUUCGAUCAACGCAAGGGAGAUCAACUGUAGUUACAACGAAUUUCGGAAGACGUUUCGCAAAUUGAUGUUCUGAACAAACUUCUCAGGAAUUGUCAGACUUAUUCUUGUUUUCCAAUGCACUUGACAGGAAGACAGCGUGUUUGAAUUA